CCGUAUGUUUUCUUUUCACGAACGACAAGUCAAAACUGAUUCCACCGCUCCCACGAAAACUGUACACAAGCUUCUCCUCUUACGUAGCCGAGCACACUGAACGUGUUUGUAUAUACGUGCGCAUGUAUACUAUAAGGCUACGUUCAUAUCUUAAACAGGUUGUCGGUUCGUCUCGCUCUAGUGCCCGCGAAGCGUACUCCUGUGCAGCGUACCACGACGAAUGACGACGCGGAUAAGGAAAUUCACAAUUGGUGAAACGUCACUUUACCUCGGAUAGAAGAUCACUGUUUCACAGGCUGGCACAUUUAGAUGAUAACGUAACGGAGCAUAUGUCUACCACUGGUAGCGGCACUUCACUCUUAUUCGGGGUUGCUCGAAAAUCACCGUGUAUCAAGAUGCUCCGACGUACACGAUUCUCGCAUUCCAUGAGAGACACCGACGCCACUCACACAGCUAUAAAACAGGUUGCUCCUCUCUUGUCCGUCUCUCGGGUCGGGAACGAAUUUCUACCGCCAAUCGGGCCACGAUAUAUUUUCUCCGUGCCAACACGUACGGGGAAAGAAACAAAGGACGUACGCGAACGCGAAUGUCAAUAUGUACACGACAGUUUCUCGCUCGUAUAAACAGAUUGCACUUCUCUUCGUAUCCACCACUUCUUUUCUUCUGUUUACCGUCUCAUCGACCCUUCCACCGUUUUCACUCGUAGCUACGUGUUCGUGUCGAAACGGAACACCCGGUGGCGCGAACCACCAUAGAGGUUAGAAACUACACUCGAAGAAAGUUUUUCGUCGGCCCGUUGUCAAACGUCGAACACCAGACGUUGUGGCGUUUCCCGGACGAGUUAGUUUCCGUGAUACUUCGUGCAGGUUCGCAUGACACGGUUACACGACUAUGCUAUAACGCUGAUUAAAAUCAGCGACGCACCGGUUGGGAGGUUAGGUCGCCACGGACGCCUCCUCCUCCGCCUCUCGGCCGCUUUCUCUCUCGCUCUUCGAUCCACGAUUGCACUCACAGAAGGAACGCGUGGCGUCGAAACAACGAAACGUUUUUCCCGCCACGUGGUGCACACACGUAUCCCACGAAUACCGAUUAAACACUGCCGGCCGGAGAUCGAACGAGCCACCGAAAAUAAUACGAGCGGACACGCAAAGAGGUGAAACGUCAAGAGCUCUCGUACGCUUUACGGAGCUGGCCGUGGACGGGCCUCUUGCUUGCUGACGUCAUCGCUCGGCCGCCGGCAUGAACUUCGCUGCACGCACGGAGAGUGCCGAGCCGAACUUGGCCGGAUCUGCACGAACCUGCACGAUCGUCCUCGCCUGAACUGUUCUGGGCGUUAUCCAAAGAAAUUUUUAUUCCGAUUAUUAUUUCAUCUGUGUAAAACAGAGUUUUUUAUUAUUAAUGUUCUUUUUUUCAAUUCAAAAUCUACAAUUACGUAAAAUUCAUGAAACUCGGACAAUGAAAUUGUAAAAUUCUUCAAGCGCUGCUUUCUGGUUCCGCUUGAGCAAAUCGGAACACUACCUUGCUCAAAAUUUAAACUACCUGUCAUCUAUGUAUUAAUUAUUCGAUGUAAUUCAAUUAUAAAAUAAAAUUCUAUGUUUCUCAA